GCUGGCGGCACGCCUUAUACAUGCAAGUCGAACGGAGUAGCAAUACUCAGUGGCAGACGGGUGAGUAACAUGUAGGUAUCUUCCCUUUGGUGAGGAAUAACACGAGGAAACUUGUGCUAAUACCUCAUAAGUCUUUACGGAGAAAGCUUUAUGCGCCAUUGGAUGAGCCUGCACUUGAUUAGUUUGUUGGUGGGGUAAUGGCCUACCAAGACUUUGAUCAAUAGCUGAUUUGAGAGGAUGAUCAGCCACAUUGGGACUGAGACACGGCCCAAACUCCUACGGGAGGCAGCAGUAGGGAAUCUUGCACAAUGGAGGAAACUCUGAUGCAGCGAUGCCGCGUGAGUGAAGAAGGCCCUUGGGUUGUAAAGCUCUUUCGUCGGGGAAGAAAAUGACUGUACCCGAAUAAGAAGGUCCGGCUAACUUCGUGCCAGCAGCCGCGGUAAUACGAAGGGACCUAGCGUAGUUCGGAAUUACUGGGCUUAAAGAGUUCGUAGGUGGUUAAAAAAGUUGGUGGUGAAAUCCCAGAGCUUAACUCUGGAACUGCCAUCAAAACUUUUUAGCUAGAGUAUGAUAGAGGAAAGCAGAAUUUCUAGUGUAGAGGUGAAAUUCGUAGAUAUUAGAAAGAAUACCAAUUGCGAAGGCAGCUUUCUGGAUCAUUACUGACACUGAGGAACGAAAGCAUGGGUAGCGAAGAGGAUUAGAUACCCUCGUAGUCCAUGCCGUAAACGAUGUGUGUUAGACGUUGGAAAUUUAUUUUCAGUGUCGCAGCGAAAGCAAUAAACACACCGCCUGGGGAGUACGAC
rnacentral:rRNA from 1 species